GUAUGUGUGUGUUUAUUAACGAUUAAUCGUUUGACAGCACAAGAAAAAAUACAGAAAACAAUAAAUUUUUAAUAAAUUUAAGUAUCUAUAAUUCAACUGUUAUGGCACAGAUACAAUGUGCUUUCCUACAAAGUGUACAAAGAGAUAUACAGACAGAGUGACAGAAUGAUGGAACGAUAGAUAGAUAGAUAGAUAGAUAGAUAGAUAGAUAGAUAGAUAGAUAGAUAGAUACUCUAUUCAAAUAAACAUAAGGAUAUACAGAGAUUUGAUCCCUGAUUUAUGAUCUGCACACACACACACACAAACUCCUACACACCCAAAGUCCAUUAAACGUUCAGCACGAACAUAACCUUUCAGGUCAAAGUUGUUCCACAAGUGAUCUGAUCAGUAUCUGCAUGCAAAUCCAGACUCACAGUGUGCUGUUGUUAUGCAAUUUACAGUUCCAUCACAAUAAUGAUAUGCAUUACAAAAUAGCAUUUGUUAAGUAUUUCAAAAGGGGGUUGAAAGGGCCCAUAAAGUUCGGAAGGUCUUCCCACAGAAUUCUACAGCUCACAAUAGUCCUCUGCCAUUUCAGUUCAGCUGCUGAACAGAACUAAAGAGUUCUGUCCUGUCAUUGCUGUCAUUUAUGCAAUGCAUAAUUCAUGUGUUUGCAUUGCACAUAUGCAUACAUAACAUGCAAUGAGUGUGUUUUCACCAUCCGAGCUUUCAACAGGGGAUUUCGAGUUCCUCUCCUCUACAUUAAAGCAGCCUGGUUUAUAUUCCACAUUCCAAGUGUUGCACAAGAUUACAGUAUUACUGACCUUGGCUGACUGCAUUCAUUUUCCCAGAAGAGUCUUGAAGACGAGGAGGAAUGAAUCUCUGUGGUUCUGGAGCGUGGAAAUACUCUGGUGUGAUGCUCUGUGCUGUUUCUCAGGGCUUCUCACCCGCCCAAUGAGAGGGUCCCUCUUCCCCCUCCUCGCCUUCUCAUUGUACAAAGACAUACAGGUGGAGAAAGCAUAGCGAAAGGAUUUGAGCCCGCCGUGCACCUGCCCCCUGAAGCCAGCCAAACACAGACAGACACUUCAGUCCUUCUCUACAGGAGUCCUGCUCUGUGGCCACAAAAUCUCUAAGAUCCGUUUCUCUUUUCUUUGCUAUCGAAUCUUGUCUUUUGUUGUGCUAUCAAACUUGCUCUAGUUUCCCAGAGGAAAAGUUUACUGCUCUUUCACCACUCAGGAGACUGAAAAGAAUUCUCAUGUCUUUCUGGAACUCAGCUGGAACUCAGAUUCUCCUAAAAGAUCCUCAAGGCAAAUAAAAAGAUACAGAUGAGAUAAUUAAUGACA
ensembl:lncRNA